AGGACGAACGCUGGCGGCGUGCCUAAUACAUGCAAGUCGAACGGUCUUUCUACGGAAGCUUGCUUCCACUGAGAAGAUAGUGGCGAACGGGUGAGUAACACGUGGGUAACCUGCCCAUAAGAGGGGGAUAACAUCCGGAAACGGGUGCUAAUACCGCAUAGUUUUCUUGAUCGCAUGAUCGGGAAAGGAAAGACGGCCUUUGUGCUGUCGCUUAUGGAUGGACCCGCGGCGUAUUAGUUAGUUGGUGAGGUAACGGCUCACCAAGACGAUGAUACGUAGCCGACCUGAGAGGGUGAUCGGCCACAUUGGGACUGAGACACGGCCCAAACUCCUACGGGAGGCAGCAGUAGGGAAUCUUCCGCAAUGGACGAAAGUCUGACGGAGCAACGCCGCGUGAGUGAAGAAAAGGUUUUCGGAUCGUAAAACUCUGUUGUCAGAGAAGAACAAGUUGGAGAGUAACUGCUCCAGCCUUGACGGUAUCUGACCAGAAAGCCACGGCUAACUACGUGCCAGCAGCCGC
rnacentral:rRNA from 1 species